CGAAUCAUUAGGCUAAUCUUAGUGGGUGAGAAAAUAAACGAGAUAUUUAUGUAGCUCUUUACCUUGAUGUGUUCUUUCUAUUUUUCCACCAUAAACACACCCAAAGGACCGCAGAUCCUCCCCUCACAAUCACUCACACACACACGCACCUGGAUGAUGAUAGAGGAGCAGUGUCCACCUGACCAUCCAUCUUGAUGUGUCCUCUCUCCUCCUCCAGUCUCUUCAACCAGAGCAAAGCCAAGCCCCUCUGAACUUAUUUCAUCUACGUGAUCUAUCCACAUGUUCAUCGCUCUGACUCAGACCCAUUUAAACAUCCCAAACAAAGCUUACUCACUUCUGCAGUCUUUCUCUAUCUCAGACAACAAAUGACUAUUCUGGGUAAAAACGCAUUUUUCAAGCAGUAUAGAGAUAGAAAAGCAUUCAGUGUAUUUAUGUAUUAUUUUUGCUUGCGUUUGCAUCUAUACACUGCUAGAGAUUAAUAGCCAAUAGAAAUCUGUAUUAUGGCCUCUCUGUGUUUCUUGUUUUUCUCUUUUAAAAUAAAUAAAUCCAACAAAA